UCAGGUGGCCGCAGAGAAUAGGCCCAAGCGACUGUUUACCAAAAACAUAGGUUUCUGCUAAGUCGCAGUACUAGGAAUAGGAGCUUACGCCUGGCCGGGGCUGGAAGGUUAAGGGGAUCUGUUAGAGCAAUCGAAGCAGUGAACUUAAGCCCCAGUAAACGGCGGCCGUAACUAUAACGGUCCUAAGGUAGCGAAAUUCCUGGUCGGGUAAGUUCCGACCCGCACGAAAGGCGUAACGAGUUGGGCACUGUCUCAACAACAGACUCGGUGAAAUUGUAAUUCCGGUGAAGAUGCCGGAUACCUGCGACGGGACGGAAAGACCCCAUGGAGCUUUACUGUAGCUUGACAUUGGGUCUUGGUACUACAUGUACAGGAUAGGUGGGAGGCUUUGCAACCAGGACGCCAGUUUUGGCGGAGCCAUCCUUGGGAUACCACCCUUGUAG
rnacentral:rRNA from 1 species